CCCUAGCCCCGAUAGCAGUGAAAUCCUUUUGUGCCGGUGUUCGCUGCAAAAGAUUGGAUCAUACAGCGGGAACAUCU
rnacentral:sRNA from 1 species